AGCGCAGGCGGGUCGGCAAGUCCUUGGUGAAAUCCUGAGGCUUAACCUCAGGACUGCCAAUGAUACUGCUGAUCUUGAGUGCAGAAGAGGAAGACGGAAUUCCUGGUGUAGCGGUGAAAUGCGUAGAUAUCAGGAAGAACACCGGUGGCGAAGGCGGUCUUCUGGUCUGCAACUGACGCUCAUGCUCGAAAGCGUGGGAGCAAACAGGAUUAGAUACCCUGGUAGUCCACGCCCUAAACGAUGGAUACUCGAUGUCGGGUCGCAAGGCCCGGUGUCCAAGCUAACGCGUUAAGUAUCCCACCUGGGGAGUACGAUCGCAAGGUUGAA
rnacentral:rRNA from 1 species